AGAAAAUCUGCAAGAGCUACUCGCAGCAUCCUCGAGGAGGGGUCGUCGCGGGCGGGGCGCAGGCCGGCCGUGUGCACUGUUGGGACUUAUAGGAGCGUGGAGGUCAGAAAAAGAGUGAUGGGUCCCGCUACCGACUCGUGACGGCGGCUGGGUUCCCAGGGUGUGCAGUGACCCCCCCCCCCCAUAUCCCCCGUCCUGGGGAAGCUGUGACCAGCACCUCUGGGAUGUGUACACCGGCAUCGGGGACCACUCUACCUGGAGCAGAGUUGUCAACGUAGAUGUUGGGCAGGGAGGCGCCAACCGAAGUCCAGGUUGCUCCGGAGCAAGAAAGUGUCUGUGUCUGGAAAGCAGGGGAAUUCAGGGCUGUUUGCACCACAGACCCCCAAAGCACAACAGCGUAAAGUGGACGGCCACCAUCCGUCGCUCAGCACAAACUGCUCUCUUCUCUAAUCAAGGUCACCAAGGUAAGGCUCCAGUCCAGCUUUAGCCUUCCUAGGACCUCUUGUCCACCUCUGCCUCCGCCCCGACGCCCCCUCCUCUCUGGGCUGCACAACCCGCUCCUCUACGGAGAACUGGGAGGGCUGCAGUGAAGUUUAGCCGAGGCCUUGCUUUGCCUGAAGACUGCUGUCUGCUGUACACUCAGAGAUGAGAUUUAACUCCGUGUGAGUGCUGAGUACUGUGAGACAAUGGAGGGAAUCUGUUCUGUGCGUGAAUUUGCAGAGGAGCCCGCAGGUAACUUUGGGUAAGCAGUUUGCACUAAGCGCAAAGGUUCCGCAGGUUUGCUUUGGGGUCUUGGAAAGAAACCAGUGUCCCCAAAACGCUGGUGACCAAUGUUAUAUCUCAGGCUUAAUAACGUCUCCCAACCGUGUUCAGUUACCUCGAAAGGUUGGCGCUUAUGUAUUUGCAUGCUGCAUUAGGAAUGCAUGCUGCUUCUGAAUCCUAUUAGAUAGACAUCCCGAGUUUUACAAACAUCAGUGUGAUCUCAAUUUAUCAGAGAAACAACCACUCCUCAAGUGAUAUUCUAAAUCCCAUAGUGAGGACCCAGUCUUGAUGUUUCUGAAAGGAGACAAACCUGUAAAGUGCAGAACUGUAUUUCCGGCAGACUGUGUGGGUGACUCUUCCUGAGUAAACCACCAACAGUACCCUACACCGUCAGUCUGAAGAAACACACUCGAGAGAUGGGAGAGUUUACGGGAAUGCUCAGCCAGGUGUGGGAGCUUCCUUUUUUAACAAUGUAUCCCUCUAAAUGUGGCGGCUGCCUGAGAGACGUGUCCUCCACACUGGGAGCUCCUGUCAACUUUGAAAAUCACAUGUUGACAUGGAGUAUUUUGAACUCCCUGAGCCCUGCAUACUUUUUGCCUUAAAUGAUGUCUUGAAGAAGACAUUAGACGUUAGUGGGUGCUACACGCAAAUCCUAGCUGAUGUGGCACUUACAUGCAGAGAGGGCUCUGAACCACCAUUGUGGUCUAUGAGAAACGUUAGCCUGGGAGAGGGGCUGGGGGAGACAUUCCUGAUGAUCCACUGAGUGAAACCUCAGGAAUCCACAGCCAACUGUAGUGGAGAAAACAAACUUUAGUGUUUACCAAAAACUUUGCUUUUUACUAAAACUGUCAAAAUACCACUCAGAGAACAAAGUUUAACAACUCAGUUCACACAAGAAGGCACACUACACACACAUUUUACAUUUGAAUUAGCAGUGUUUUGUUAGCUUGGGAAUUCUUUAAUUUAGCAGACAUCAUUUAGACCUCAGCCACGUUAGACUGUCCCACAGGGCUUGAAGUCCUGUACUGUAGGCUAAGUGUGGCAGAUACAGUUCCACUGAAACAAAAAGGUGGACAUAAUUCUGUUGCUUUUCUGGAAUGGUGUCGUAGAAUGUGACCUGUGCAAACACUGUAUCCUAAAAUGUCCAUUUCCUUAGCUCCUCCUGUAGCUGAAUUUACAGAGCGUGAACCCAACGGGACUGGUGUUGGCCCUGGUGUGUUUUCUCUUCCGGUGUCCCCGGUUUGAGGUACUUUCAAAAGUCACUCUCCUGGAUGUGACACUUAAUUAGGAAAUGACGUCACUGCAUUCCAGUUUGUGCUUUAUAAUGUCGUUUUGCUGUACCUGAGGGAAAUGUCCUGUUAAAGAAGGAGAGAGAGGGAAAAGCAGGAAUAUCAACUCAAUGCUUCUUAACUGCUUGAGGCCAUAGGUCCCCUUUCAAAUCUAUGGCUCUCAUGGAUUUGUCCCUGAAAAAAAAAAAAAAGGGACCGCACCUGGCUGACCCCCCUUUCUAAGAUUAAUAAUUCACUCACUGUAGUCGGUGACCUGAGGAGAGAGGAGACAGCAAAUGUGAAGUGUUCAGAAACCAUGCCUGUGCACAUGCUGAGGUUUAAAUUGGGCUGUCUCAGUCCUGAGCAUCCCCUCGGAGGACUGAAACCAAAUUAAAUAUUAGACUAAUUGGAAACAGUUGAAAGGACUGCUGGGCACUUCCCACCCUCCUGCCUGGCUCUCCUGGGCACACUUCAGUUCUUUCCUCAGGAGUUCCUGUAAAAUAUUUUAAAUACGUAUAAUUGCCGCUGCUGCCGCCACCGCCGCCACCACCAUCAUUACCACCAUCAUCACCAUCAUCAUCACUAUCACCGUCAUCACCACCAUCACCAUCAUCAUCACCAUUACCUUAUCACUGUCAUCACCUCUAUCACCAUCAUCACCAUCAGCACCACCAUCAUCAUCAUGGUAUGUAUACGACAUACAUGUAGGGAAGGGGAGCGUGUGUGCCCUGGUUAGAGAACAACUUUCAGGGGUCGGUUCUGUAUUUCACCUUUGCUUGGGUUCCGGGAAUCAACUGCAGGUAAUCAGAUUUCUACAGUGAGCACUUUACCUAUAGAGCUAUCUCACUAGCCCUUUGGCUCUGUUUCUUUACAAACCUCCCUUGGUCUGAAUGGUUCGAUGUAAAUAUCCAAUCAAUUAAUUCUCGGAUGACCUCUCAUGUACGUGCAGGAAGAAGAUGAGGUGUAGAUCACAGUGCCCCAGCCUCUCCCUGAAACCAGAUAGUGAGGCUGUUGUAUUUCAUCCACAUGUCCCAUACCCUGGGCUUUUGACCCCUGGAUAAUAUGUAGAAGGCUAUGCCAGAGCCCGUGGAAUAUAUCAAAACACAUCGCACUUGGAUUCGGCCCAGGGAAUAAGAACUCUUUCCUGAGAAACCCAGCUGAUCUGAGGCCAAAGAAAGAAAACUUGUGAAGUCCUGGGGAGAGGAUUCAGACACACAGGUCUCUUGUAUGGCCACUUAGAGAACUUGUCCCUUGCCUUCCCCAUAGAGAAAUUGAAUCUGUAUUACUGGAAACCACCAGUGGCAAUGUGCCUGCACAGCACAGCCUGGAUGUGAUUUUUAAACAUAAUCAUUUUAUUGAAAGAGGCCUCAUAGGUGUCACCAUGGGAAUGCAGAACAAAUACUACAUUCUAUUGGUUGAAACCAAGGUCAAAAUUGACAAAGCCUUCAGUCAUACUUCUGGGCGUAAAGGGGAGCUGAAGAGAAUGGUAUCCCCAAGAGAGUGAUCUGUUGCCCAGCAUGGGGGCAGGAGACAGUGAGGACUCAGCACCCUGAAGGUCUGGUGCACAGGGGUGUGUAUAAUGAUCACCACCACUUCACUCUCAACUCUUUGCUAUUCUUGGGCUUUCCUGGAGGUGAGAUCAUCGUGUCUGUGCAUUGAACUUAUUCUCCCGGAGUGCAUGGUUGGAACCUCACUCCUUCCAUUGUAUGGUACAGCUAGAUGGGUGGAUCUUUAGCUGGUAUAGAGGCCAUGAGGAUAGACCCCUCUGGAAUGAGUGCUCUGAUUGAAGGGACCAGAGGAAGCCUUUGACCUUUUGCUCUUCCUCAAGAAGCAAUGAGAAGCCACCUUUCUAACCCAGGACCCGAACACGUUGGCAUCUUGUUCUCAUACCGGGACCAUGAGAAAGGAUAUUUGGUUGUUUAUAGAUCACGCAGCCUCAGGCAUCUAAAACUUCGUGAAAACCCAUUAUUCCUACGAGAGGAAGGCUCCAGAAAAGAGCACAGAGAAGGGCUGUUAGGUAGCUUAGACGAACACCUAGGAGGCCCCACUCACCCCUGCAAUGAAAUGUGGGUCAUCAGUCUUCCAGCAAGGAUCCACAGUGUGAAACUGUUUACACACAGACGUCAGGAAACCAUUCAAAAGCAACAGAGAAAACCAAUUCCGAGAAGUAAAGCUGACAAAACUACUAGCAUUUGAGAGGGUAUGUGGCCAAGGAGCCAAGGACCUACAACAGGUUUCAAAGAUGGCAGCCGAUGCCCUUCACAGGGAAAGGGCACAUCCUGCUCUGUGUGGAGUCUGAAUGGCUAUUUAUGACACAGAACUGAGAGUGAGAUUCAAGCUCUGGCAGCAGCAUGUCUAGGAGACAGCAAAUGAGGAGCCACGCUGAGAAUCCGUCUGUCUCUAGGGCACUCUGGCUGCCACGGGGAAACACUCGUCAAAGAAGGGGAAUGGCCAAGAGAGAAGUAAAAGUCAGCAAAUGCAAUGAGUCUGGUCAUGAAGAAAAUUCCAGCCAGACCACAAUAUAUUCUCCCUGGCACUGAGCUAGCUGAUGGCAGAGAGCCAACCACCCUUGAGGAAAAGGAAUCGUAGGAAAGAUGAAGGACGUUCCCUGACAGAGGUGAACCUUUUGCUUUGUUACUUCAGUUGUCUCUGAGUUAAACCUGCUCUUUCCCAUGGGCAACAAUGUUUCACAGCAGUGGCGGAUGACCCUGGCUGGCCCUUAGAGCAAUUAGGAGACUUUAAAGAACAGGACUUCAUCAAUACCAAACAACAGAAUGUCUGGCGGAAUGGCAGGCAGGUGUUUUUGAUGGACCUCUGAGGGUGGUUCCAGCAUUCUUCCUUACUCAGCUUCCAGCUCGCUCUGCCACUCACUGCCUACCCCAUCUCUAUGCUAUGAUCUGUAUUAGUUCGAGAGCCUUCUUGCCCCUGAGCUGUGGCCUCCUGCCUAAAUCACACCUUGCUUGUCCAACUCUUUUCUCAAAACUGUGCAUUUUAGAGCACUGUGGACUCUUUAGCAGAACUGACCAGAGGCACAGAGCUAUCCUAUACCUCGCCUUCUUUAAACAGCUUUUCUCAUUGUCCACAUCUUCAACAGACUCUUGAACUUUAUAAGCGCAGAGAAAAUUAGUUGAGCCCAAGUGAGCAUAUACGUAUUUAUUUCUCUGCCCUUGAAUGUAGCUAUACUGUGAUUGGCUGCUUCAACUUCCUAUUUCUUUGACUGCUCCACAAUAAUGGACAAUAAAUUGAAACUGUGAGCUAAAAAACACUCUUUCCCGCCUAAGUUGAUUUUUGUCAGGAUAUCUUAUUAAAGCAAUAGAGAUAAAAUAGGAAUAAUCCCUUUGGUCAUUGUCCAUUCUCACCCUGGAGACUGCCUCAGGUUCUGCCUCCACUUGUCUUCCUCGCUUCAUAUAAUUUCAUGUAACAGAGAUCACAUGGACCAGCAAGCUAAAUAGAAAUCAGCAUGAGAUCAGGUAACACUGAGGAAUGCAUGUGUCUUAAAAAGUUGGUACCAUAUCUUCAAGACUCUUUGAGGGCUUUAAGCAGAUAAAUGGUGUGGGAUGAAUUGCUGGUUCAGUGAGAAUCCGGUCACUGCUUUUGGGACUAGGAAGAGUGGAGCCAAUUCAUUCAUUCAGAUUUAUUCAGGACAUCAGACAAUUUACACUCUGAGGGUUAAGAAGACUCACAUGAAUAUAAUGUACUUACAAGGACAAGCUGCACACGCACGGCAAAGACAUGCUUUCCCAUAGAGCCAUAAACAUUUAAUUGAAUGACACCAGCAGGCAAUAAUGAGUAUCUGAAGUAAGCUCACCCAUCCCCCACAUCCGAGGCGAGCAGGAAAACAUACUCCAGGAACAAUUCUGUGUUUUGAAGAAACUAAGUCCCAAGAUUCUUGUUUUCUUGAAGUUUUCUCACAAGCACUCAGAAUUCUCACAUGGAUCUAUUCCUGAACCACAGUCCCAUGAAAGCCUGGAGAGAGAGAGAGAGAGAGAGAGAGAGAGAGAGAGAGAGAGAGACAGACAGACAGACAGACAGACAGACAUAGAAGGACAGAGACUAAGAAAGAUCCCUCAGGUCAACCUUUGGCUUCCACAUGCAUGUGCAUUUAUGUGCAUGAACAUCCACUGGCACACAUGUAUACACACAGGUACACAGGUACAUAUGUACAUAUCAUACACACACAUACAAUAACACACAAACAUACACCGCAUGCUGUGAUAUUUUCAACCUAUGCUAGGUGGUGCGUCCACAGUGGGGUAGCAUUUCUGCUUCAGUCUAUUGCAAAGUCAGCCUAGAGGGUCAGGGCAGACUUGUAGACUUGAGUUCAGCUACUGAGGAGAAAGGACAGGACUGGGUCCAGGUGAACCAAUAUUUGGUGGGUGAACGGCAGGUUAGACAGGUAAACAGGCAGGGGACAACUCAAGCCACAUCAGAUGUGGGUACUAAAGCAAGAUGGACCCUGAAGAGUUGGGUGUGCUCUGUGAGUGGUCCUUAAUGCACACAGAUAGUGGUGCACCAACAGGUGAGUGGGGCCAUCACAGUGAUGAAGCUAGAUGUGGGCCUGGCACCUCCAACACGUUGUGGUCUCCAAGGCAACCCAGGCUUCACCUUCAUAGCUUCAUGCAGUGGCCACUCUAGACCUCAAUUCAGAGAAACCCCUGACAUACACCUGGCCUCAGAGGCUUUCUCUAGUUGUGGGGGGAGAGUCUAUAACUCCUUUCUUCUAUCCUUGAUUCUAAAGACAGAGCCAUUAGCCAAAGUUGCCAAGUUCUGCUGCUUGCUGGACCUGGACCUUUUUCAAUUACACCUUUAUCAGCUUUGUUUUCAAUGGCUUCCUUCACAGCCUAAGCUUAGCCGUUCUGAAACUCACUCUGCAGACUAGGCUGGCCUAGAACUUAGUCUUCUUACUUUCUGAGUUCCUGGAUUAAAGGUGUGCACCACCAGGCCUGGCCCUAAGCUUUUCUUUAAUUCCUUUUCACUUUUGUCUUACUUAGGGUUCUAUUUUUGUGAAGAGACACCAUGACCAUGGCAACUCUUACAACGGCAAACAUUUGAUUGGGGUGGCUUGCAGUUUCAGAGGUUGAGUCCAUUAUCAUUAAGGUGGGAAACAUGGCAGUGUCCAGGCAGAUGGUGCUGGAGGAGCUGAGAGUUCAUCUUGAUCCACAGGCAGCAGGAAAGAGAUUGACUUCUGCGAUUGCAAAGCCCACCCCCAGUAACAAGCCUCCUCCAACAAAGGCCACACCUCCUAAUAGUGCCACCCCCAAUGGAUCUAUGAUUUUAUUCAAAACACCAAAGAUGUCUUCCUCCUUACGGAGCCAGGAUGAGAGAAUUGGACCCUUUCCUCAGCCUGAUGAGCUAAGUCCUCGGGCCUGUUUUUCCUGAUAAGAUUUUAAGAUGCCAUGUGCUCCUUUCUUUCUUUCUUUUUUUUUUCUUUCAUUUUUUCGGAGCUGGGGACCGAACCCAGGGCCU
ensembl:lncRNA